rnacentral:rRNA from 1 species
GUGGGGAAUCUUAGACAAUGGGCGCAAGCCUGAUCUAGCCAUGCCGCGUGAGCGAUGAAGGCCUUAGGGUUGUAAAGCUCUUUCAGCUGGGAAGAUAAUGACGGUACCAGCAGAAGAAGCCCCGGCUAACUCCGUGCCAGCAGCCGCGGUAAUACGGAGGGGGCUAGCGUUGUUCGGAAUUACUGGGCGUAAAGCGCACGUAGGCGGAUCAGAAAGUCAGAGGUGAAAUCCCAGGGCUCAACCUUGGAACUGCCUUUGAAACUCCUAAACGUGAGGUCGAGAGAGGUGAGUGGAAUUCCGAGUGUAGAGGUGAAAAUCGUAGAUAUUCGGAGGAACACCAGUGGCGAAGGCGGCUAACUGGCUCGAUACUGACGCUGAGGUGCGAAAGCGUGGGGAGCAAACAGGAUUAGAAACCCCGGUAGUCC